CAGAAAAAUUGUGCAACAUUAUAAGGAUUUUCCUUUUCUCAGGGGCUAUGGGUACAUCUCACUUGAGAAUCUAUUAUUUUUUACCAGGACUUAUCUGGUAAGCCAGACCAGAUUUGUUCCUUCGUCUUUGUAAUUGAUUUCUCACUAGCAUGUUACUUUUGUCAUCAUGUUAUUUUAUUUUAAGCUGACUUUGCUAUCAAAUUUUUUGCAUUGUUAAUUUAUUACUAAUUUUAUGCAAACUCAAAAUGAAGGCUUCUUUUCAAAGGUUAUUAUUCAAACUUGAAGGGAAGCAAGCCAUGUGGGAAUACCCAUUUGCUGUUGCAGGCAUCAAUGUUUCAUUUAUGCUUAUUCAAAGGAGAGUUGCAUCAAGUAAGAGAGAAUCACAAUCUCCAACUAGCAUAGGUGCAGACCUUAAAGGUGCAUACCUUAAAGGCUGAAAUAGAUAGAUACACCGAAUAUACUGGAAAAUCCUCUAUAGAGUUGGAAAAGUUUGACUGCAAAAACAAAUUUACUUUGAGGAUGUCAUCAAAGCCCCGGCCUGAUCAUUCUGGAGAAAGUAUUAGGUCAUAAGAUGUGGAUAAAGUGAGGAAGACAUUUUAUACAAAUGUUCCUGAUGAAUACAUUCAAGUUGUUGAAGAUCUGGUUGUCCCAAGGACUGAAUUUGGUAAUGCAUCAAAGAAAGAGCAUUACCAUGUGAAGGUGCUUGACAAACAUGGAGUGACUAUUUCAUGCAAAUGUUCUGUAACAAAAGAUGGUGGAAAACUUGAGCUUCUUAAGGAAAGUAUUACGCCUUCC